GACGAACGCUGGCGGCGUGCUUAACACAUGCAAGUCGAGCGAUGAAGUUCCUUCGGGAAUGGAUUAGCGGCGGACGGGUGAGUAACACGUGGGUAACCUGCCUCAUAGAGGGGAAUAGCCUUCCGAAAGGAAGAUUAAUACCGCAUAAGAUUGUAGUAUCGCAUGAUACAGCAAUUAAAGGAGUAAUCCGCUAUGAGAUGGACCCGCGUCGCAUUAGCUAGUUGGUGAGGUAACGGCUCACCAAGGCGACGAUGCGUAGCCGACCUGCGAGGGUGAGCGGCCACAUUGGGACUGGAGCACGGCCCAGACUCCUCCGGGAGGCAGCAAUGGGGAAUAUUGCACAAUGGGGGAAACCCUGAUGCAGCAACGCCGCGUGAGUGAUGAAGGUCUUCGGAUUGUAAAACUCUGUCUUCAGGGACGAUAAUGACGGUACCUGAGGAGGAAGCCACGGCUAACUACGUGCCAGCCGCCGCCGUAAUAC
rnacentral:rRNA from 1 species